rnacentral:rRNA from 1 species
AUUGAACGCUGGCGGCAUGCCUUACACAUGCAAGUCGAACGGCAGCGGGCCCUUCGGGGUGCCGGCGAGUGGCGAACGGGUGAGUAAUGCAUCGGAACGUACCCGGGAGAGGGGGAUAACCGGCCGAAAGGCUGGCUAAUACCGCAUGAACUCGGAAGAGCAAAGCGGGGGACCUUCGGUCCUCGCGCUCUCGGAGCGGCCGAUGUCCGCUUAGGCUAGUUGGUGGGGUAAAGGCCCACCAAGGCGACGAUCGGUAGCGGGUCUGAGAGGAGGAUCCGCCACACUGGGACUGAGACACGGCCCAGACUCCUACGGGAGGCAGCAGUGGGGAAUCUUGGGCAAUGGGCGAAAGCCUGAUCCAGCAAUGCCGCGUGGGUGAAGAAGGCCUUCGGGUUGUAAAGCCCUUUCGGCGGGGAAGAAAUCGGUCAGGCGAAUAGUCUGGCAGGAUGACGGUACCCGCAGAAGAAGCACCGGCUAACUACGUG